GACGAACGCUGGCGGCGUGCUUAACACAUGCAAGUCGAACGAUGAAGCCUAGCUUGCUAGGUGGAUUAGUGGCGAACGGGUGAGUAAUACGUGAGUAACCUACCUUUAACUCUGGGAUAAGCCUGGGAAACUGGGUCUAAUACCGGAUACGACCAAUCUCCGCAUGGGGUGUUGGUGGAAAGCGUUAUGUAGUGGUUAUAGAUGGGCUCACGGCCUAUCAGCUUGUUGGUGAGGUAACGGCUCACCAAGGCGACGACGGGUAGCCGGCCUGAGAGGGUGACCGGCCACACUGGGACUGAGACACGGCCCAGACUCCUACGGGAGGCAGCAGUGGGGAAUAUUGCACAAUGGGCGCAAGCCUGAUGCAGCGACGCCGCGUGAGGGAUGACGGCCUUCGGGUUGUAAACCUCUGUUAGCAGGGAAGAAGAGAGAUUGACGGUACCUGCAGAGAAAGCGCCGGCUAACUACGUGCCAGCAGCCGCGGUAAUACGUAGGGCGCGAGCGUUGUCCGGAAUUAUUGGGCGUAAAGAGCUUGUAGGCGGUUUGUCGCGUCUGCUGUGAAAGGCCGGAGCUUAACUCCGUGUAUUGCAGUGGGUACGGGCAGACUAGAGUGCAGUAGGGGAGACUGGAAUUCCUGGUGUAGCGGUGGAUGCGCAGAUAUCAGGAGGAACACCGAUGGCGAAGGCAGGUCUCUGGGCUGUAACUGACGCUGAGAAGCGAAAGCAUGGGGAGCGAACAGGAUUAGAUACCCUGGUAGUCCAUGCCGUAAACGUUGGGCACUAGGUGUGGGGAACAUUCCACGUUUUCCGCGCCGUAGCUAACGCAUUAAGUGCCCCGCCUGGGGAGUACGGCCGCAAGGCUAAAACUCAAAGAAAUUGACGGGGGCCCGCACAAGCGGCGGAGCAUGCGGAUUAAUUCGAUGCAACGCGAAGAACCUUACCAAGGCUUGACAUAUACUGGACCGCAUCAGAGAUGGUGUUUCCCUUCGGGGCUGGUAUACAGGUGGUGCAUGGUUGUCGUCAGCUCGUGUCGUGAGAUGUUGGGUUAAGUCCCGCAACGAGCGCAACCCUCGUUCUAUGUUGCCAGCACGUUAUGGUGGGGACUCAUAGGAGACUGCCGGGGUCAACUCGGAGGAAGGUGGGGAUGACGUCAAAUCAUCAUGCCCCUUAUGUCUUGGGCUUCACGCAUGCUACAAUGGCCGGUACAGAGGGUUGCGAUACUGUGAGGUGGAGCUAAUCCCUAAAAGCCGGUCUCAGUUCGGAUUGGGGUCUGCAACUCGACCCCAUGAAGUCGGAGUCGCUAGUAAUCGCAGAUCAGCAACGCUGCGGUGAAUACGUUCCCGGGCCU
rnacentral:rRNA from 1 species